CACGUAGGAACCUGACACGCAGUGGGGGAUAACGCGGGGAAACCGGCGCUAAUACCGCAUGAUGCCACAGGAGGAGACUCUUGUGAAGAAAGGCGCAAGUCGCUGUGUGAGGGGCCUGCGGUCGAUUAGUUAGUUGGUGAGGUAAGGGCUCACCAAGGCGAUGAUCGGUAGCUGGUCUGAGAGGAUGGUCAGCCACACUGGGACUGAGACACGGCCCAG
rnacentral:rRNA from 1 species